rnacentral:rRNA from 1 species
UACGAAGGGGGCGAGCGUUGUUCGGAAUCACUGGGCGUAAAGGGCGCGUAGGCGGCCCUUCUUGUCGCGUGUGAAAGCCCCGGGCUCAACCUGGGAACGGCGCGCGAGACGGGAGGGCUGGAGUUCGGGAGAGGAGCGUGGAAUUCCCAGUGUAGAGGUGAAAUUCGUAGAUAUUGGGAAGAACACCCGUGGCGAAGGCGGCUCUCUGGGACGGUACUGACGCUGAGACGCGAAAGCGUGGGGAGCGAACAGG